GCAGUGUUAAUUACACGCUGGCAGGGGCACGGGUGACAGGGAGAACAUGGUGUCCUGCUGGAGAGGAACAGUUCAUCCCCAUAUUGCCUUGCUCCGUCCCUGUUUCUGUCCUUGUCUGCCUCUGCCUGAGCCUUAUGACAUGCCACUGUUAAGGAAUGGCCCUCUCUCACCUCAGGGAGGUUUCAUUCACUUUGAAGAGAACAAGACAGGAAGGGGGAGAAGAGGAGGAAAGAAGAUCCUCUCUUUUACAGGAAGAGGAUGGUGGAGAUGAGGAGAAGAGAGGACACAGAAGAGGACAGCGUAGAGGACAGAGGAGAGAUCGCCAGACGUGGCUGUGCUGCUCUUGGCCAGAAGCCCGAGAGCGAGACAGGCAGAUAAAACAUUCAUUAAUGUCUAGUCUGUCCACACACUCUUAAAUUAUUGAUCUCUGCUGCCUCAGCUCACACAUCUCUCUUCUGGGUUAACGGAGAGCCUCUGAAGGCAGGGCCAUGAGAAGCAGAGAUGUGAUGGUUGUGGAGCGGUGUUCCAUACAGAGUGUCAUCAGAAGGCCCAGCCGUGUCCACGCUGCGUACACAGAGAGCUCCACCAUAAGAGAGCCUCGUCUUUCUGGAGCCCUGACGACGAUACACCAGGCUGCGUCACACUGCCUUACCAGUACACCUGAUCACAAAUACACACACACCCGACACCCGGAGAUCACACACACACACACACACACACACACACACACACACAGAUUGAAACAGCGGUGCCACUCCACAGAGCUACACUCACCAAAGUCAAUGGAAGCAUGUGUGUUUGUGUGUGUGAGCCGGCCAGGAUACACAGUGAGAGUGUUGAUGACUAAGAAAGGGUUAUGCUCUCUCACACACACCUGCUUUGUGAGCUACGCUGACGUCACUCUCACCUGGAAGAGAUGGAUCCUAACGCAACACCCACCGGAGAGGAACUGCUCUGCCUCUUAGCCUCUCUGCUAUGUGCUAUCUUCAUAGUGCUGCAUACACACACAAACACACAGAAACACACACUCACGAACACAAACACAGACAACACAAAUAAAGGGAGAGGGACUGCUCUGCCUCUUAGCCUCUCUGCUAUGUGCUAUCUUCAUAGUGCUACACAAACACAGAAACACACACAUACACACUCAAACACAGACAACACAAAUAAAGGGAGAGGGACUAUGCUGACUCAACAGCAGUAAUGCGUCCUCUUGACUUUCUGGACACAGUCGCUCACACACACACACACAUCUGGAAAUGUAUAUUUCCAGCUCAUACAUUUCCGACAUCAGUGACCAACCUACAAGCUGAAACUAAUAUGCUGUUGGUGUGAUGUCACUAUAGCCUAUAUCUAUAGCCUAUAUCUGGACUCUGUUGGUGUGAUGUCACUAUAGCCUAUAUCUGUAGCCUAUAUCUGGACUCUGUUGGUGUGAUGUCGCAACUCGCUAUAUAUUUGGACUAUAUAUCUGAACUCUACAUGUCCGUACUUCACCACGCUGUCCCUCUGCCCUUCACUCUCUCUUUAUCCUCCCCUUCACAUGUUUUUGCACUAUUUAUGCAUGUUCAUUAGGAUGUCAAGCCACAGACUGGGUUAGUAGCCACUGUAUUUAAGGAUGAGUUUGCUUAUUUAACUCACCUAUUAGCUCUUAGAGCCCCUCUAACCAACCAACCUUUAUCCAGACAUAUUCAAUAGGAGGGUCCAAGUGGGGGACGCUUAUUAUGAUCAGGACACACUUGAAACUAGAAUGAGAUUGAGUCAUAGUAAUGUUCAAAUCGCAUAUCAUCCUAUCAUGUAUACUUUUUCCUUGAGCGUGAUAGGGGCAACUACUCCCUACUGCUGUCCUAUG
rnacentral:lncRNA from 13 species